UCUGGAUUCCAUCUUCCUCCCUAACCCUCUCCCCCUCCCCCUUUUUGGCUCGCAAUCGGGAGCUCCGUCUUAGCUCUCGAUCGAGCUCGCCCCUUUUCUCUUUUUGUUCUACUUGUUUUAAUGGCGUCUACCCCUUUAAUUUCUUGGAUCAUGUUCUUAAUAUUCCUUUUAUAACAGACGUAUAUCGUUGAAGAAACAAUCACCCACCGUCAUGGAUAGGGCUGUUCAAUUGAAACGCGGGAUUUCCCGUCAAUUCUCAGCCGGUUCAAUGAAACUCGGCGGCAAAUUCAGCUUCAAGCGUCAGAGUUCUAUGGAUCCACGUUCCAAUAAUAUUCGUUUCAGCUUUGGCCGUCAAUCGUCCCUUGACCCAAUUCGACGAACACCCACCAAGGAUGAGUUCACCCUCCCUGGAAACCUUGAUUCCACCAUGCAAUUGCUGUUUCUAGCCUGUAAAGGCGAUGUUCAAGGGGUCAAAGAUCUGCUUGAUGAUGGGAUUGAUGUUAAUAGUAUCGAUCUUGAUGGUCGUACUGCUUUGCAUAUUGCUGCUUGUGAAGGACAUGUUGACGUUGCCCAGCUCCUGUUGAGUCGCAAAGCCAACAUUGAUGCCCGUGAUCGCUGGGGGAGCACGGCAGCUGCUGAUGCUAAGUACUAUGGAAAUGUAGAAACAUACAAUAUUUUGAAGGCCCGUGGAGCCAAAGUUCCGAAAACUAGAAAGACACCUAUGUCCGUUGCAAAUCCUCGAGAAGUUCCCGAGUACGAACUCAAUCCUCUAGAGCUUCAGAUUCGCAAAAGUGAUGGCAUCUCAAAGGGAAACUAUCAAGUUGCUAAAUGGAAUGGGACAAAAGUUUCUGUGAAGAUACUAGACAAGGAUAGCUACUCUGACCCUGAAAGCAUAAACACUUUCAAACAUGAGUUGACCUUAUUGGAGAAGGUGCGGCAUCCUAAUGUGGUUCAAUUUGUUGGAGCUGUCACCCAAAAUAUACCCAUGAUGAUUGUUUCCGAGUUUCAUCAAAGAGGUGACCUUACAACCUAUCUUCAGAAGAAAGGGCGGUUGUCGCCACCCAAAGCUCUUAGAUAUGCUCUUGAUAUUGCCAGGGGAAUGAAUUAUCUUCAUGAAUGCAAACCGGACCCAAUUAUCCACUGUGAUUUAAGGCCAAAAAAUAUUUUGCUGGAUAGUGGGGGACAGUUGAAGGUUGCAGGAUUCGCAGUGAUUAGGUUGUCCAAGAUUUCGCCUAAUAAAGCAAGAUUGGCGCGGCCUGUUACCAUCGAUCGAGCAAAUUUGUAUAUUGCACCCGAGAUUUAUAGAGAUGAUCUGUUUGACAGAAGUGUGGAUGUGUACUCUUUUGGCCUUAUUCUUUACGAGAUGAUGGAGGGUGUCCAACCAUUUCAUCCCAAGGCUCCUGAGGAUGCUGUUAAGCUCAUGUGUGUAGAUGACAAGAGACCACCAUUCAAGAUCAAAGCUAAACAUUAUCCUCCUGAUCUAAAAGAAUUGAUCGAGGAGUGUUGGUAUCCAGAUUCGACCGUAAGGCCAAAGUUUUCUGAGAUUAUCAUACGACUCGACAGUAUUGUCGGAAACUGCUCUAAACAGGGAUGGUGGAAAGAAACGUUUAAGCUCCCAUGAGGUUAAGUCUCCUUUCAUCUUCUCUCCCAAACCCCACCAAAGAGUGGGACAUACUGGGUUCGUUUGGUUUGGUUUGGUUUGGAAAUAAACAUAUGAAUGUCGAACACGGACGGGUUUGGCUGGUGAUCAGAACUCCAGGUUUGGGGACUUUGUACCGAGGUCUUUACAACUACGUUUGGAUAUAUAACAGAUGUCGGAUGACUGCUACCGAGGGGGCGGUAAGCGUAAUCUUUUAGAGUUAUGGAAGCUGCAUGAUAAAGUGGAAUCAUCACAAUACUAAGCUUUUUAUGUUUUCUUGUUUACGUUUAUGAAAAUUGUUCGUAUGUAACUAAUGUUAAUACGGCAUGUGAUAUAAUAGUUUCGAGUAAUUUCGUCUUC